rnacentral:rRNA from 1 species
AGGUGCUGCAUGGCUGUCGUCAGCUCGUGUCGUGAGAUGUUGGGUUAAGUCCCGCAACGAGCGCAACCCUUGUCCUUAGUUGCCAUCAUUAAGUUGGGCACUCUAGGGAGAAAACCAGUGUUAAACCGGAGGAAGGUGGGGAUGACGUCAAGUCCUCAUGGCCCUUAUGCCUAGGGCUACACACGUGCUACAAUGGCCGGUACAAAGGGCAGCGAUACCGCAAGGUGGAGCAAAUCCCAAAAAGCCGGUCUCAGUUCGGAUUGGAGUCUGCAACUCGACUCCAUGAAGUUGGAAUCGCUAGUAAUCGCGUAUCAGCAUGACGCGGUGAAUACGUUCCCGGGCCUUGUACACACCGCCCGUCACACCACGGGAGUCUAUUGUACCGGAAACCGGUGGGCUAACCUUCGGGAAGCAGCCGUUUAUGGUAUGAUCGGUAACUGGGGUGAAGUCCAAGCAACAUC